rnacentral:rRNA from 1 species
GACGUACGCUGGCGGCGUGCUUAAUACAUGCAAGUCGAGCGAGGCCUUGGAAUUGGAGUCCUUCGGGAUGAAGAGUCCUUGGCCUAGCGGCGGACGGGUGAGUAACGCGUGGGCAACCUACCCCAAAGUCCGGGAUAACAGUGGGAAACCGCUGCUAAUACCGGAUGGCUUUACCUGAGGGCAUCCUUGGGUAAAGAAAGGUUACGCUUUGGGAUGGGCCCGCGUCCCAUUAGCUAGUUGGUGAGGUAACGGCUCACCAAGGCGACGAUGGGUAGCCGGCCUGAGAGGGUGAACGGCCACACUGGGACUGAGACACGGCCCAGACUCCUACGGGAGGCAGCAGUAGGGAAUAUUGCGCAAUGGGCGGAAGCCUGACGCAGCGACGCCGCGUGAGCGAAGAAGGCCUUCGGGUCGUAAAGCUCUGUCCUUGGGGAAGAAGGCGAAAGCUUGACGGUACCCAAGAAGAAAGCCCCGGCUAACUACGUG